GAAUCGCUAGUAAUCGUGGAUCAGAAUGCCACGGUGAAUACGUUCCCGGGCCUUGUACACACCGCCCGUCACACCAUGGGAGUGGGUUGCAAAAGAAGUAGGUAGCUUAACCUUCGGGAGGGCGCUUACCACUUUGUGAUUCAUGACUGGGGUGAAGUCGUAACAAGGUAACCGUAGGGGAACCUGCGGUUGGAUCACCUCCUUACCUKAAAGAAGC
rnacentral:rRNA from 1 species